UUCUUCUGCUAAAACUCAGCCUAGCCUAGGAUAGCCGCUAGGCCUAUUAUUAUAUUGCCAUUGCCAAUGGAAGAAGAGUCCGCACCAUGCCAAGGUCUAUGCACAGUCAGUAUUGUGAUUGACAUUGGCCAUGGUUUACUUAUAGAAAAGGAUCCAUGAUAGGGAAGAAAAGCAACGCACAUGUGGAACAUCGGUAGAGAAAGAGCGUUUGGAUCCCAUCUGAAUUACUGCCAUAACAGAUUUCACUGAUAAGAAGUAUCCUGAGGCAUCAACCACUCUUUUGAGGCAGUCUCUGUCAAACAGAAUAAAGAAAAUGAACAAGCCUAAAAAUUGGGAAUACCAUGUAUGCAUUUUUGUUUUUUAAUUUUGUUAUUUAACUUUAAUUCCAAACUUCGUUCUAGUGAUAUUAGAUUUGUGGCAGUAUUUUAUUAUAUUUGAUGUUUCAGUGUGUAGGCCGUCUUAAAGUUAGGCUCAGAAAAGAUGUUUUUUUUUUUUGUUUUUUUUUAUGUUGUAG